AACCUGCCAUAUUGUGACAAGUUUCUACCAAGGGCUCAUAUUUCGCAAGUUCAACACUACUAAGGGGGAUUUGCUAAAAACUUCGUAGUUUUUUUCCAAAUCACUUGAUUUCUACCCAUCUUUUUUGCAUUCUUCUACUCAUUCAACCCUACUACAACUUGGAUUUGUGUGAUUGGAGCUUAAAGGUAAUGGUUUUUUCCCCCAAAUCUAGGGCUAGUGUACAAAUA